rnacentral:rRNA from 1 species
GUAGGUGGCAAGCGUUGUCCGGAAUUAUUGGGCGUAAAGCGCGCGCAGGCGGUUCUUUAAGUCUGAUGUGAAAGCCCACGGCUCAACCGUGGAGGGUCAUUGGAAACUGGAGAACUUGAGUACAGAAGAGGAAAGCGGAAUUCCACGUGUAGCGGUGAAAUGCGUAGAGAUGUGGAGGAACACCAGUGGCGAAGGCGGCUUUCUGGUCUGUAACUGACGCUGAGGCGCGAAAGGGUGGGGAGCAAACAGGGAUUAGAUACCCUGGUAGUCCACGCCGUAAACGAUGAGUGCUAAGUGUUAGGGGGGUUUCCGCCCCCUUAGUGCUGCAGCUAACGCAUUAAGCACUCCGCCUGGGGAGUACGGCCGCAAGGCUG